CUCGUUGUCCGAAAAACAGUUGCAACGGCAAGAGGAAGAGGAGGAAGGCACCAUGGAGUUUAAUGUAAUGGGAAUAGAAGUGAUGUCCUCACUCUCACUCACUCUCUCUUCCAAUUUUGCACCAAAUUGGUUUUUUCAUUUUCCCCUAACAGAUUCUUCUUCCAACAACUUCACUUUCAAAACUUCACCUAGGGUUCCACUUCGCUCUGCCUCUUAGGUCAGCUUCAACUUUAUUAUGCUCUAGUUCUUUACACAUCCAUUUGUUCCUACGUUUCUUUGUAUCUCUAGUAAAUUGCAGCAGAAAGACACAAAAAGAAAAAAAUAAAAUAAAA